rnacentral:lncRNA from 1 species
CACCUAAGUUCGGUGUGGCCACCAAGUCCUCUUGGUACAGGAUACAGCCACCUCUGUCCUCUGGCAUAUUCCACCUGCAGGAGGAGCAAGUCUUCCCAUCCUCAGUUCCUUGACAAAUGUCAAAGUGCUGAAGGGUCACUCCUCCCUCCAGACUUCCUGACUACUGGGGGAGUCCCUUGGGAUGAACUGAAUGAGCAGCAGUGGGAGUUUGUCACCACUAUCAUGAGUAAUAGAGUUUACUUUGGGUUUUUUUGUUGUUUUGUUUUUUUUUAAAUAGAGCUUACUUUGGAGCUGCUGCUUUCUGCUUCUUGACCAGAGUAUCCUAUUCAACACAUCAGGCCAAACUUCAGGCAGCCAUCUUAACACCCGAUGCUUCUGGCCAACAAAUAGUCCCAACUGCACAUUUUCACAAAUUCUUGAGCCACUGACCCUUUGGGUAAAGGACUCUGGGAAAUUCUUGCUUCACAGAUACCCCAAGUAUAAAUCAGUAGUGGUGAACCUAUGGCACACACGCCCCAGCCAGCUGUUUGAUAUCAUUGAAGACUCUAAAAGGUACGCCAUCACUGCUAUAAAUCAAGACCACAGAUGUCUCUGUGUAUACUCAGGUCACAAAAGAUGCCUCAACAAGAUUAUCCUCAACCUAGCCUGAGUUUCAGGUGUUACUAAUAGUGACCAAGGCAUUGAUGGCCUUAAGCCUCAUACUACCUCUUCUUGUGCACAUAUCUGGACAGGUACUUAGGCCUGGGUGCUCCCCAUGGCUCAGGUGCAAUUCAUGCCAUGCAACUCCCUUGCUGUACUUAGAAGCCCUCACACUGACCCCACCUCCAGCCCAGCCUCCUGUCCUUGCUCUCUCAAGCCAUUUUGGACCUGUGCAAAGGCCUGUUGAACUCUUCCCCAGAGACCUCAACUAUGUCAGUAAACUUUCUGAUAGAAAGACCUGCAAAGGAAUUUUAAGCUUUUUAAUCAAACUACUACUAAUAAUAUUGGCCUUGUUACACUGACAUAUAAAAGUAAUGAAAUAAAUAAUUUCAUGGUAAAAUAAUGAGGAUCCAAGAUGUGUAAUAUAAGAAAAAAAAGAGACAGUAAUAACAACAAAUAACCAUCUAGCCCUAAAUUUGAAUUAGAAAUAUCAUUGCAAACUUAUAAUGUACUUUGAUAUUUUUUAAAUUACCAUGCUUCAGAGUAAACAAAUAAUUGAUUUGGGGAAGUUUGACUUUAUACAGUUAUUCCCAUAAAUCCUGAAGAAAUAACUAGUAACAGAAUGUCACCAUCUUACGUGUUAUGAUUUGAUCUGAAAUGUUCCCCCCAAAGUGGGAAGGUGGUUGGAUCAUGGAGGUGCUUUACUCACUGGUGGAUUCAUCAACUGGUGGCUGAAGUGGCUGAGCAUGCUGUUGGAAGGUGGAGCCUGGUCAGAAGAGAUGGGUCACUGGGGUCAUGACCUGGAAGGAUAUAUCUCCCUCCCCAGCUCCUCCUUUAUCUCUCUGCUUCCAGGUUGCCAUGAUAUGAGCAGCUUUUUUCUGCCCAGACCUUUCCAUCAUGCCAUUUCUGCAUUGCAGCCAGCUGACUAUGGACUGAAUCUUCUAAAACCAUGAACUUAAAACUCCUCCUUUAAGUUGUGGUGUCAGUUUGCAGGAAAUUCGAGGGACAGAAGGAUUCCAAGCAAACAGCAUAAUCACAAAUACGACAAACUUUACCAUAUGAGCUUACAGCUAAGAGUUUGCCUUGAAUCUCAGAGGAGACUGGACUUGUCAACAGUGCUGACUUUGACAAUCCUUAGAGAUGGACUAAAUGAAUUUUUGCAUAAUGAGAUGGACAUUACCCUUUUGGGGGCCAGGGUCCAGAAAGCUAUGGUUUAGAUCUAAAAAGUCCCCCCAACAUCUCAGGUACUCAGGUGUAAGGCUUUUGGAAGGUGAUUGCUCAGUCAUAGGGGCACUACAUUUAUCAGUGGACUAAUGCAUCGAUGAGCUCAUGACUGAAUUUGCUGUUAGGAGGGGAGCCUGGUUGGAGGUAGGUCACUGGGGGCAAGACCUGGAAAGGUAUAUUAUUGUCCCCAGCUCUUUCCUUCUGUCUCUGCUUCCUGGCAGCCACAGAUUGA